UACGUAGGGUGCAAGCGUUAAUCGGAAUUACUGGGCGUAAAGCGUGCGCAGGCGGCUUUGCAAGACAGAUGUGAAAUCCCCGGGCUCAACCUGGGAACUGCAUUUGUGACUGCAAGGCUAGAGUACGGUAGAGGGGGAUGGAAUUCCGCGUGUAGCAGUGAAAUGCGUAGAUAUCUGGAGGAAUACCGGUGGCGAAGGCGGCAUCCUGGACCGACAUUGACGCUGAGGAGCGAAAGCUAGGGGAGCAAACGGG
rnacentral:rRNA from 1 species